rnacentral:rRNA from 1 species
ACGCUGGCGGCGUGCUUAACACAUGCAAGUCGAACGGAAAGGCCCUGCUUUUGUGGGGUGCUCGAGUGGCGAACGGGUGAGUAACACGUGAGUAACCUGCCCUUGACUUUGGGAUAACUUCAGGAAACUGGGGCUAAUACCGGAUAGGAGCUCCUGCUGCAUGGUGGGGGUUGGAAAGUUUCGGCGGUUGGGGGUGGACUCGCGGCUUAUCAGCUUGUUGGUGGGGUAGUGGCUUACCAAGGCUUUGACGGGUAGCCGGCCUGAGAGGGUGACCGGCCACAUUGGGACUGAGAUACGGCCCAGACUCCUACGGGAGGCAGCAGUGGGGAAUAUUGCACAAUGGGCGGAAGCCUGAUGCAGCAACGCCGCGUGCGGGAUGACGGCCUUCGGGUUGUAAACCGCUUUCGCCUGUGACGAAGCGUGAGUGACGGUAAUGGGUAAAGAAGCACCGGCUAACUACGUGCCAGCAGCCGCGGUGAUACGUAGGGUGCGAGCGUUGUCCGGAUUUAUUGGGCGUAAAGGGCUCGUAGGUGGUUGAUCGCGUCGGAAGUGUAAUCUUGGGGCUUAACCCUGAGCGUGCUUUCGAUACGGGUUGACUUGAGGAAGGUAGGGGAGAAUGGAAUUCCUGGUGGAGCGGUGGAAUGCGCAGAUAUCAGGAGGAACACCAGUGGCGAAGGCGGUUCUCUGGGCCUUUCCUGACGCUGAGGAGCGAAAGCGUGGGGAGCGAACAGGCUUAGAUACCCUGGUAGUCCACGCUGUAAACGGUGGGUACUAGGUGUGGGGUCCAUUCCACGGGUUCCGUGCCGUAGCUAACGCUUUAAGUACCCCGCCUGGGGAGUACGGCCGCAAGGCUAAAACUCAAAGGAAUUGACGGGGCCCCGCACAAGCGGCGGAGCAUGCGGAUUAAUUCGAUGCAACGCGUAGAACCUUACCUGGGUUUGACAUGGAUCGGGAGUGCUCAGAGAUGGGUGUGCCUCCUUUGGGGUCGGUUCACAGGUGGUGCAUGGCUGUCGUCAGCUCGUGUCGUGAGAUGUUGGGUUAAGUCCCGCAACGAGCGCAACCCUUGUUCACUGUUGCCAGCACGUUAUGGUGGGGACUCAGUGGAGACCGCCGGGGUCAACUCGGAGGAAGGUGGGGAUGACGUCAAGUCAUCAUGCCCCUUAUGUCCAGGGCUUCACGCAUGCUACAAUGGCUGGUACAGAGAGUGGCGAGCCUGUGAGGGUGAGCGAAUCUCGGAAAGCCGGUCUCAGUUCGGAUUGGGGUCUGCAACUCGACCUCAUGAAGUCGGAGUCGCUAGUAAUCGCAGAUCAGCAACGCUGCGGUGAAUACGUUCCCGGGGCUUGUACACACCGCCCGUCAAGUCAUGAAAGUUGGUAACACCCGAAGCCGGUGGCCUAACCGUUGUGGGGGAGCCGUCGAAGGUGGGACUGGUGAUUAGGAC